UCAGGAUGAACGCUGGCGGCGUGCCUAACACAUGCAAGUCGAGCGAUCUCUUCGGAGAAGAGCGGCGGACGGGUGAGUAACGCGUGGGUAACCUGCCUCAUACACAUGGAUAACAUACCGAAAGGUAUGCUAAUACAGGAUAACAUAAGAGAUUCACAUGGAUUUCUUAUCAAAGCUCCGGCGGUAUGAGAUGGACCCGCGUCUGAUUAGCUAGUUGGUAAGGUAACGGCUUACCAAGGCGACGAUCAGUAGCCGACCUGAGAGGGUGAUCGGCCACAUUGGAACUGAGACACGGUCCAAACUCCUACGGGAGGCGGCAGUGGGGAAUAUUGCACAAUGGGCGAAAGCCUGAUGCCAGCAACGCCGCGUGAGUGAUGAAGGCUUUCGGGUCGUAAAACUCUGUCCUCAAGGAAGAUAAUGACGGUACUUGAGGAGGAAGCCCCGGCUAACUACGUGCCAGCAGCGGC
rnacentral:rRNA from 1 species